CGUUAUUCAGGCUACCUUUCUGCAUCUGUAGAAUGUGGGCCAGGACCUGCUGGGUCAGCCUGUGAUUUAGUGACUCACUGUGAAACCCAGGCUGAGUAAUAGAACCUGAAGCUCUCUUCUUGUUCAUUUUCAGGAUGGUUCUCUUGGGUUUGUUUAUUCCUUGGUCUCUCCUGAUUCUGGCCUGAAAGAGCUAAGCCACAGUCAGAUGAUCAAAGCAACUGGUGCAAGACAAUUGCUUUGAUUUGCUGUUUGCUUCAGAUCUGGAUUACCAGCUGUAGCCUUUCUAAUCAAGCCUCUCUGAGCACGGGAUUUAAACAUUCACAGAUUCCCAGAAAUUCCCUUGGUCUCAGGGGAGGCAGGCCCGAGUCUUAUUCCGGAGGUGGGCAUAUAAGCCAGUUCUGGCUACGGAACAUCGAGAAAGGUUUA
rnacentral:lncRNA from 1 species